AGCCGGUAGCACAGGAACCAAUUCCUGUACUAAUCAAAGUGACCAUCUAGCAAUGGUACCCAACGACCGGAUAGGUCGAAUGGUCGCAAUCACAACACUCAAAAUCUACAUGAAUAUGGUUACUGUAUAAUUCAUCCUUUUGACCUCUGUGUUUAGGACGACUCAGGGUUAAACUGUCAACCCUGAUCAGAUCAUCCGAAUCGUGCUCAACUCAAACAGUCCUGUGACUCCUUAUAAGGACUACCCUGGCUAAGGUUUUGCUAAAUUGAAAUAUGACUAUACACAGCUCCUAAACUGGAGUGGUCAAUCCCAUCUUGGCACAUGCACCGAU
rnacentral:lncRNA from 1 species